UGUCGGCGCCAUCCCCUUCGUCCGCGUUCUACCCUAUCUCUUCCGCCAUUGCCGCACAAUCUGGCCGGCCCCGCCCGACCCCGUCAGAGAGAUCCCCGGAUCUCCCCUCUCUCCGCGCUCCCCCAAUCGACGCGGUCGCCUCUUGACCCUUCACUCCCGCGCACGCCAGAGUGCGGCCGCCAUUGUUGGCAUGCGGGCGGGGCUCCGUGGACCGGCCCCUACGACCCUCUCUCCCUCUAUAAAAGGCGCCAGCGCCCUGCGCACGCACGUCGCAUCCACCCCGCCCCUCCUCGAGCCUUCUCCCUCGCCGCAGCACAUCCUAUCACCGCCGCCGCCGCCGCCAUUGCCGAAGGUCGGCCCGAGCUCCUGAUCUCCCCAUCUCGACCACCUCGCACCCGAACUCUUGUUCCGUUGGCCUCGAAAGAACACAAUGCACCCACCGCACCGCUUCUUGCUGUGAAUUGGUGCUCGCAACGUCGUCCGCCGUGCUCGCUGGAGCACCUCGCCGUUGCCGUCCGCCCCGCCGCGACAUCCUUGCCCUUCGUGCCAGCUGCUGCCGCCGAGAACCCCUGCCCGACUGCGCGGUUCCUUUGUUAUGCUUGCUUGUGUGUUUCCUAUAUUGAAGGAAAGGUUGAUCAAGGUUGAACGAGAAGUAAAGAUCGUCUAUCUAAACAACUUUUGAGGGCCUCAAGAUCCUCAAGUUGGGCUGAUGCUUGCAAGGAAAGGGGAAGAUAGAAAAUAACACUCAAGUCUCUUUCAAGAAAGAACCUGAUGGAACAUUUUGGUUUUCUUACCAAAGACAAUAAUAUGUGGACAUCAUGAUUUUAACCUGGUUGAUGUAUAUAGAUUGACGCAGCCAGGAUGAAUGUAGAUUGACUACUGCCUCAUAAGUCAUACCAACGGUAGCUUUGUCUAAGCUAAAUCAAGUGUGUUGUUGUGGAUUUAGCUGAAACCCUUGAAGAGAACUUGCUCAAAGCAAGAUAACCAGACGGCAAGGACAAAAAAAACCUCUUAACAAACAAGCUAGCUAGUGGAAGUACUCGCACGGAGCAUUCAAUCAAUCUGGUGCCUGCUCAGUCUGUGGCGAUAUGAAGAACGAAGGAGCACACACAGCGUGUGCAACAGCGCCAGAUGCAAAUGCAACGUACCAGGACGCACCAAAAGCAUCUCACUGCAUUCACUCCUGCCGACUCGCUUUUUUCACCGCCAUCAAUUUCCCAUCGUCUCGUCAGGUCAGGUAGCUACAGCUACAGCUUUUUUGAGUCUGCAGUUGGACGGACGUGAGAUCUGAUGAUGGAGCAACGAGCAUGAAGGCCAGCAGCAGUUUCCUCUGUUUGCACCCUGAAUUCCAGGCCAUGGUCAUGAGCAAAGCUCGGUGGUUUUCGGCGGUCGAUCAUCUUUUCAUCUUUUGACGCUGCUGCAGCCCUGUUCUGAUUGUUAAUUUUUUUUAUCGAUUUUGGCAAGUCAAAUAUUUUUAAGGCUGACUAAAUCUGUAAAUAAUAAAAAUAUUUACAAUACAAAAUAAGUAUUAUAAUACAUCAAUCAUGAAACACGUUUUAUAUUGUA